rnacentral:rRNA from 1 species
GAUGAACGCUGGCGGCGUGCCUAAUACAUGCAAGUCGAGCGAACAGAUGAGGAGCUUGCUCCUCUGACGUUAGCGGCGGACGGGUGAGUAACACGUGGAUAACCUACCUAUAAGACUGGGAUAACUUCGGGAAACCGGAGCUAAUACCGGAUAAUAUAUUGAACCGCAUGGUUCAAUAGUGAAAGACGGUUUUGCUGUCACUUAUAGAUGGAUCGACGCCGCAUUAGCUAGUUGGGAGGGUAACGACUAACCAAGGGAACGAUGCCUAACCGACCUGAGAGGAUGAUCAGCCACGCAGGGUCGUCAGCACGAUCAGAACUCCUACGGGAGGAUGAAGAAGGAAAUUUAUGGUAACGCGGGAAGGCGUAACGGAGCACCUCGGCGGGAUGGAAAAUAGUAUAAGCAGCGUAAAGACCUAUUAUGAGGAAAGAAGAGGUGGAAAAGGAAAUAUGCAGGGAUUGACGGUACCUAGGCAGAAGGGGACGGGUAAAUACGUG